rnacentral:misc_RNA from 1 species
GCUUGAAGGUGGUUUUGGAGUGAAUGUAAGGGAAGGGUCAUAUAAAAAGAUUGAUGGUGAUCAGUCAGCUUCUCAGCUGCAGUGGAGAUCAUCUACUGGUGAAGUCGAGCAAGUGAGAAAGAAAGACGUUGUGGUGUCUGCGAAGGAACCAACAAAAUCGGAAGAUCUUGAAGUUCCAAGAAGGAAGUUCCACAAACCUUUUUCUGCAGGUGAACAUGUAAAGGUGCAAGGUAGAAGAGAUGAGACUAGCUCUACUUAUGGAAGUAACAAGCCAGUUUUUAAUAGCAAUAAGAUAUCUGAGAGUCAAGAGAGCUUUGGUACUGUAUCAGCACCAUCAGU